rnacentral:rRNA from 1 species
GAAAUUUGUAAAUUACGAACUUCCUUAUAAGGGGGCGAAAUUUGGGCCCGAACGUCGCAUGCUUCCCGGCCGGCCAUGGCGGGCCGCGGGAAUUCGAUUAGAGGUUUGAUCAUGGCUCAGAUUGAAACGCUGGCGGUAGGCUUAACACAUGCAAGUCGUGCGAGAAAGUAUCUUCGGAUAUGAGUAGAGCGGCGGACGGGUGAGUAACGCGUAGGAAUCUACCUAGUAGAAGGGGAUAGCCCGGGGAAACCCGGAUUAAUACCGUAUACCUCCUUCGGGAGAAAGAAGGCCUCUCUUUGAAGCUUUCGCUACUAGAUGAGCCUGCGUAAGAUUAGCUUGUUGGUGAGGUAAAGGCUCACCAAGGCUACGAUCUUUAGCUGGUCUGAGAGGACGAUCAGCCACAUUGGGACUGAGACACGGCCCAGACUCCUACGGGAGGCAGCAGUGGGGAAUAUUGGACAAUGGGCGCAAGCCUGAUCCAGCCAUACCGCGUGUGUGAAGAAGGCCUUCGGGUUGUAAAGCACUUUAAGCAGGGAGAAAAAGUUAUAAGUUAAUACCUUAUAACCCUGAUGUUACCUGCAGAAUAAGCACCGGCUAAUUCCGUGCCAGCAGCCGCGGUAAUACGGAAGGUGCAAGCGUUAAUCGGAAUUACUGGGCGUAAAGCGCGCGUAGGUGGUUUGUUAAGUUGGAUGUGAAAGCCCUGGGCUCAACCUAGGAACUGCAUCCAAAACUAACUCACUAGAGUACGAUAGAGGGAGGUAGAAUUCAUAGUGUAGCGGUGGAAUGCGUAGAUAUUAUGAAGAAUACCAGUGGCGAAGGCGGCCUCCUGGAUCUGUACUGACACUGAGGUGCGAAAGCGUGGGUAGCGAACAGGAUUAGAUACCCUGGUAGUCCACGCCGUAAACGAGCUCUAGCUGUUGGGAGACUAUGUCUUUCAGUGGCGCAGCUAACGCUUUAAGU